AUUGAACGCUGGCGGCAGGCCUAACACAUGCAAGUCGAACGGUAGCACAGAGGAGCUUGCUCCUUGGGUGAUGAGUGGCGGACGGGUGAGUAAUGUCUGGGAAACUGCCAGAUGGAGGGGGAUAACUACUGGAAACGGUAGCUAAUACCGCAUAACGUCGCAAGACCAAAGAGGGGGACCUUCGGGCCUCUUGCCAUCGGAUGUGCCCAGACGGGAUGAGCUAGGAGGUGGGGUAACGGCUCACCUAGGCGACGAUCCCUAGCUGGUCUGAGAGGAUGAGCAGCCACACUGGAACUGAGACACGGUCCGGAAUACUACGGGAGGGAGCAGUGGGGAAUAUUGCACAAGGGGCGCAAGCCUGAUGCAGCCAUGCCGCGUGUAUGAAGAAGGCCUUCGGGUUGUAAAGUACUUUCAGCGAGGAGUAAGGCAUUAAGGUUAAUAACCUUAGUGAUUGACGUUACUCGCAGAAGAAGCACCGGCUAACUCCGUGCCAGCCGCCGCAGUAA
rnacentral:rRNA from 1 species